rnacentral:rRNA from 1 species
UGAAAACUGGGGGCUCAACCCCCAGCCUGCAGUGGGUACGGGCAGACUAGAGUGCGGUAGGGGAGAUUGGAAUUCCUGGUGUAGCGGUGGAAUGCGCAGAUAUCAGGAGGAACACCAAUGGCGAAGGCAGAUCUCUGGGCCGUUACUGACGCUGAGGAGCGAAAGCAUGGGGAGCGAACAGGAUUAGAUACCCUGGUAGUCCAUGCCGUAAACGUUGGGAACUAGAUGUAGGGGCCAUUC